rnacentral:rRNA from 1 species
GACGAACGCUGGCGGCGUGCUUAACACAUGCAAGUCGAAAGAAGUGGCGAACGGGUGAGUAAUACGUGGGUAACCUGCCCUCCUUUUUGGGAUAAGCCUUGGAAACGGGGUCUAAUACCGAAUCACGGGGGAUGGGCUCGCGGCCUAUCAGCUUGUUGGUGGGGUGAUGGCCGACCAAGGCGGUGACGGGUAGCAGGCCUGAGAGGGUGACCGGCCACAUUGGAACUGAGACACGGUCCAAACUCCUACGGGAGGCAGCAGUAGGGAAUAUUGCGCAAUGGGGGAAACCCUGACGCAGCAACGCCGCGUGGGGGAUGACACUUUUCGGAGCGUAAACUCCUUUUGCGGUACCUAACGAAUAAGCACCGGCUAACUCCGUGCCAGCAGCCGCGGUAAUAC